UACGUAGGGUGCAAGCGUUAAUCGGAAUUACUGGGCGUAAAGCGCACGUAGGCGGCUUGGUAAGUUGGGGGUGAAAUCCCGGGGCUCAACCUCGGAAUUGCCUUCAAGACUGCUUGGCUUGAGUUCGGGAGAGGUGAGUGGAAUUCCCAGUGUAGAGGUGAAAUUCGUAGAGAUUGGGAAGAACACCAGUGGCGAAGGCGGCUCACUGGCCCGAUACUGACGCUGAGGUGCGAAAGCGUGGGGAGCAAACAGG
rnacentral:rRNA from 1 species